GGCAGUACUACGAGUACCGCUAUGGGAAGAUCUCAUGGUGGAUCCCCCCUGAUCGGGACAUCUUCGAGAUCAGGGAUUUUGAAGAUCCACGGGCGGGUCCCUAUUUGGAGUGCAUUAGGGAACAGAUAAGAGGAGACAUAAGGAUGGCACUCUAUGAUCUGUGGAUGGCCAGGGAUUGUGUGAAGAUCACAAAGUGGUGGCAAUUUCGCCUGAAGGCCGACUUCCGAGGGGACUACAGGUACAUCAAAGCCCACCUAAAGGACCUCUACAAAGACCUAGAGGCUAUCAACAAGGUCAUCCUGACGCGGAACAGCGAGAGAUAUUAAGGUGGCCCUCGGAACUAAAAGGCAAAAGGUGAAAUCCGCCCAGAUCCAUCUUCUCUCCUAUCAACCGCAAUUCCACCAGCGGUGCCUGCACUCCCAUCCACCGUAAUUCCACCAGCGGUGCCUGCACUCCCAUCCACCGUAAUU